rnacentral:rRNA from 1 species
CAGCCGCCGCGGGAAUACGGAGGGUGCAAGCGUUACUCGGAAUCACUGGGCGUAAAGGACGCGUAGGCGGAUUAUCAAGUCUCUUGUGAAAUCUAACGGCUUAACCGUUAAACUGCUUGGGAAACUGAUAAUCUAGAGUAAGGGAGAGGCAGAUGGAAUUCUUGGUGUGGGGGUAAAAUCCGUAGAUAUCAAGAAGAAUACCUAUUGCGAAGGCGAUCUGCUGGAACUUAACUGACGCUAAUGCGUGAAAGCGUGGGGAGCAAACAGGAUUAGAUACCUCGGUAGUCCCUGUCUCUUAUAA